UACGAAGGGGGCUAGCGUUGCUCGGAAUUACUGGGCGUAAAGCGCGCGUAGGUGGCUUCGUAAGUCCGUUGUGAAAGUCAAAGGCUCAACCUUUGAAAGCCGAUGGAUACUGCGGAGCUAGAGUGCGGAAGAGGCGAGUGGAAUUCCUGGUGUAGCGGUGGAAUGCGCAGAUAUCAGGAGGAACACCAAUAGCGAAGGCAGCUCGCUGGGACGUUACUGACACUGAGGCGCGAAAGCGUGGGGAGCGAACAGG
rnacentral:rRNA from 1 species